rnacentral:snRNA from 1 species
UCCCUUGCGCAGUGGCAAUAUCGUAACCAAUGUAGGUCUCCUGAGGUGCGAUUAUUACUAGUUGAAAACUUUUAAAGGCACC